rnacentral:rRNA from 1 species
UGAGGGAUAUUGGUCAAUGGGCGCAAGCCUGAACCAGCGACGCCGCGUGGGUGAAGAAGGUCUUCGGAUCGUAAAGCCCUUUUCCCACUGAAGAGGAAGGACGGUAGGUGGGGAAGAAGUCUCGGCUAACUACGUGCCGGCAGCCGCGGUAAAACGUAGGAGACAAGCGUUAUCCGGAGUUACUGGGCGUAAAGGGCGUGCAGGUGGCGUCUUAAGUCUGUUGUGAAAGCGCCUGGCUUAACCGGGCGAGGCCAAUGGAGACUGAGAGGCUGGAGGACGGCGGAGGGGUGUGGAAUUCCGGGUGUAGUGGUGAAAUGCGUAGAGAUCCGGAGGAACACCAGAGGCGAAGGCGGCACUCUAAGCCGUACCUGACACUGAGACGCGACAGCACGGGGAGCAAACG